ACUACGGGAGGCAGCAGUGAGGAAUAUUGGUCAAUGGGCGCGAGCCUGAACCAGCCAAGUAGCGUGAAGGAUGACUGCCCUACGGGUUGUAAACUUCUUUUAUAAAGGAAUAAAGUGAGGCACGUGUGCCUUUUUGUAUGUACUUUAUGAAUAAGGAUCGGCUAACUCCGUGCCAGCAGCCGCGGUAAUACGGGGGAUCCGAGCGUUAUCCGGAUUUAUUUGGUUUAAAGGGAGCGUAGGUGGGUUGUUAAGUCAGGUGUGAAAGUUUUCGGCUCAACCGUAAAAUUGCAAUUGAUACUGGCAGUCUUGAGUACAGUUGAGGUAGGCGGAAUUCGUGGUGGAGCGGUGAAAUGCUUAGAUAUCACGAAGAACUCCGAGUGCGAAGGCAGCUUACUAAACUGCCACUGACAUUGAUGCUCGAAAGUGUGGGGAUCAAACAGGAUUAGAUACCCGGGUAGUC
rnacentral:rRNA from 1 species